UCAACCGCCAUGAAACCAGAAAAGAAGAAGGAAAACUAGGAAGUUUGUAUUGAAACGUAAAGGUUCAGUGUCUCCAACUUGUGUGGUCAUGGCGAAGGUUCCUGUGGGUAAAGUGCUGCUGCGGAAUGUCAUCAGGCACACGGACGCCCACAACAAGAUCCAGGAGGAGUCAGAGAUGUGGAAACUGAGAGACAUGGAGCGACAGACCUUUUCUCCUCGUGAAUCAAAACACAGCUGGAGCACAAGAAGCAGCAUGCACUGUGACCGAUACCUGAAGGAGUCCGAAGGAUCCGUGCGUGGCAGGCUUGGCGAAAGAGCGUGUCUCUCUGAGCGAGAUGAGCGAGAGGCUCGUUACUGGACACGAAAACUCUACGAAUUUGAGUCCAAUGAUCCAGACAGAUGGGGUCAUAGUGGUUUUAAGGAGCUUUAUCCGGAGGAGUUUCAAUCAGACAGAGAGACAGCUGAUGCCGAACACAGAAGAAACGGCAAGGGAAAAACAUCUACCGAGAAACAAAAGAAGACCAAGAAAUCCUCUAAGCGAAAGAAGAAGAAAAAGAAAAAGAAGCAGAGGACUGAAGGGUCAGACUCUGAGUCAGACAGCAGCGUGACAGACGGUGCCAAAAGGAAGCCGAAGAGGAAGAGCGGUAAAAGCAAACACCGCAGGAAAAAGACACACAAACACAAAGCGACGGAGGAGGACAGCAGCACACACGACAGUGAAUCAGACAGAGGGCGAGAAAAGACUCACAGGAAAAGACACAGAACUGUUAUAGACACACAAACGGAGCCGAAAAGGAAAAAAAGGAAGAACUGGAAAGCAGCGAAUGAAGAGAAAUCCGAGGAGAGCUCUGAGGACUGACACCCCACCAUCAUCCUCGCGGUUCAGUCAGUCAGUCAGUAGAGUUUAAUACAGAACAGCAGCAGUUUGCAUCGUUCACUUUGUCUCCGAUCUCCAUUAGUGUGCAGUCUGAUCUUCAUACCUCUCCAACUGGACACCUGAUGGAGCUUUUUUUAAUUAUAUAUGCAACACGUGAUUUUAUAUCAUUUUCAUGGUUUCGACAUGCGGUUGUAUAUGCUUUGUAGAUUUUUGGAUACAUUUUGAUGAAACCAUUUUUUUAAAAGCAAAACUCAGCUGGAUGAUGAGACUGAUUCGGUGGCACAGAGGGGAGUGUUGCAGACUCGCAGCUCCACGAUCCUGAGCUUGAUCUGUGCGGAGUCCCAAAAACGCAUAGAGCUCAUAGUGUAUUCCCCGCUGGAGAGACGAGUAAAGCCAUCUGGCCGCCAUCUUACCACUCCCAACUCGUGUAUUUGGUUUGUGUUAAGCCAGUAUCUCGCUGGGCUGCGACAGCCUGCGAUUAGUUGGAGACACAAUU